AUUCUAUCAAAACUCAAUGUCUUUAACUAGUGGCAUAUGUGACCAUCUGAGAAUAAUUUGGCACAGAGACCUUAACUGUGAAAUUAGUGAGGAUACAUGGUGUAACUGUCAUAGUUUGUUUUGUUAUUUUUUUGUUUUCAUUAAAUAUCAUGUUUGUAAUGUCCAAGAAUAUGUUGUGUUUAAUUUGAUAUUUACGCUGGGUCAUGUUGGGUUAGGCGAUGUCACGUGUUGCACACGGACAUUAUUAGGUGCCGUACCACUCGCCUAGGUGAUGGACUUGACUAUGCUCACGGCCAUGUUACAAGCCGCGGGCUAGUUUGAAAUGUUUGAUGCUGUGUUUUUAAGCUUUAAGUCUCAUUCCCUCUUCAGUUAUAUGCAGCCAGCAAUGUAUGUUUGGUUCUUGUCUUUGCUGUUUUUGAUUUAUAUUGCGUUGUAUCUGGGUUUAUGAUUUUUCUACUGAUUUUGUGUUGUUUGUACUGUCAGUUUGAUGGUGGAUGAAAGAUGAACGAAGUGGAUUUUAUGGAUUACGUUAUUAAAAGAUUGAUCAUCCAUCAGUAACUAAAACUUGGCUCAAGCGUGAUUCCUGGAGGGCAUGAUAGUCAAACUCGACCUGCAAGCAAGUCCAGGCGGAUCUGUAGUCAAUUCAACCUGCUCUGUCUGCAGCCUCCUUUAAUCCCCAAGCACGGCCUGCACGAACUUGUGUGGGCAAACGUUCACUCAUCCGAACUACCUGAGCUCGUCUGUGGUACGGACUGGAGUCAUUGGAUUUUCGCGGACUUAAAACGGGCUCGGACGUGUACUACGAAAGAAAAAGGAAUGUUGAACUGCUCAACCUGCGCGUGCCGGAGGACGUAUAAGAGACUCUUUGCAUUUGACUGAAGAUUUGGAUAUUGGUAUGCCUACCUCCUGGAGAGUGUUGUUCACUUGGUUGGCUGUUGUGAAGGGGUUUCUCUUCACCAUUGAAAUUAUUCUGCGAUCAGCCACCACUGUUGUCUUCUCUUAAGGAUGGCUUGUUUCACCUGCAUGGAGAGCUCCUUUGACCGCAUGUUUUCUUCACAGCAAAAUGUUCCAAAUGCAAGCACCACACCUCAAAUCAACUCCAGGCCUUUUAUCUGCUUAAUUGAGUGACAUAACGAAGGAAUUUCCCACACCUGCCCAUGAAAUAGCCUUUGAGUCAAUUGUCCAAUUACUUUUGGUCCCUUUAAAAACAGGGUGGCACAUGUUAAGGAGCUGAAACUCCUAAACCCUUCAUCCAAUUUUAAUGUGGAUACCCUCAAAUGAAAGCUGAAAGUCUGGACUUUAUGUCCAUGUCCAUUAUAUAACUAUAACCUGAAUAUGUUUCAGUAAACAGGUAAAAAAAAAAACAAUUUGUGUCAGUGUCCAAAUAUAUAUGGACCUAACUUUGUUAUUUAUUUAUUAUCAUAUGAUUAUACUUAAAUUGCAAUGAUAGAAUUAAAACAAUUACAGUACCAGUCAAAAGUUUGUGCACCCCUAGUCAUUCACAGGUUUUUCUGUAUUGUGACUAUUCUCUACAUUGUAGAACAAUACUGAAGACAUCAAAACUAUGAAAUAACAUCUGGAACAUAUUUGGAAUUAUGUAGUAAACAAAAAAU